rnacentral:rRNA from 1 species
GACGAACGCUGGCGGCGUGCCUAAUACAUGCAAGUUGAGCGCCGAAGGUUGGUACUUGUACCAACUGGAUGAGCAGCGAACGGGUGAGUAACGCGUGGGGAAUCUGCCUUUGAGCGGGGGACAACAUUUGGAAACGAAUGCUAAUACCGCAUAAAAACUUUAAACACAAGUUUUAAGUGUGAAAGAUGCAAUUGCAUCACUCAAAGAUGAUCCCGCGUUGUAUUAGCUAGUUGGUGAGGUAAAGGCUCACCAAGGCGAUGAUACAUAGCCGACCUGCGAGGGUGAUCGGCCACAUUGGGACUGAGACACGGCCCAAACUCCUACGGGAGGCAGCAGUAGGGAAUCUUCGGCAAUGGACGAAAGUCUGACCGAGCAACGCCGCGUGAGUGAAGAGGGUUGUCGGAUCGUAAAACUCUGUUGGUAGAGAAGAACGUUGGUGAGAGUGGAAAGCUCAUCAAGUGACGGUAACUACCCAGAAAGGGACGGCUAACUACGUG